rnacentral:rRNA from 1 species
CAGUUUCCCCCCACUUAGUAGUAUGAUGCUGCGACGCCGCGUGAGGGAUGACGGCCUUCGGGUUGUAAACCUCUUUAAGAGGGGAAGAAGGCCUUUCGGGGUUGACGGUACCUGCAGAAGAAGCGCCGGCUAACUACGUGCCAGCAGCCGCGGUAAUACGUAGGGCGCAAGCGUUGUCCGGAAUUAUUGGGCGUAAAGAGCUCGUAGGCGGCCUGUCGCGUCUGCUGUGAAAGCCCGGGGCUCAACCCCGGGUCUGCAGUGGGUACGGGCAGGCUGGAGUGCGGUAGGGGAGACUGGAAUUCCUGGUGUAGCGGUGGAAUGCGCAGAUAUCAGGAGGAACACCGGUGGCGAAGGCGGGUCUCUGGGCCGUUACUGACGCUGUGGAGCGAAAGCAUGGGGAGCGAACAGGAUUAGAUACCCUGGUAGUCCAUGCCGUAAACGUUGGGCACUAGGUGUGGGGCCCAUUCCACGGGUUCCGUGCCGUAGCUAACGCAUUAAGUGCCCCGCCUGGGGAGUACGGCCGCAAGGCUAAAACUCAAAGGAAUUGACGGGG